rnacentral:rRNA from 1 species
UACAGAGGUCUCAAGCGUUGUUCGGAUUCAUUGGGCGUAAAGGGUGCGUAGGCGGCGCGGUAAGUCGGGUGUGAAAUCUUGGAGCUUAACUCCGAAACUGCAUUCGAUACUGCCGUGCUUGAGGACUGGAGAGGAGAUUGGAAUUCACGGUGUAGCAGUGAAAUGCGUAGAUAUCGUGAGGAAGACCAGUGGCGAAGGCGGAUCUCUGGACAGUUCCUGACGCUGAGGCGCGAAGGCCAGGGGGAGCAAACGGGG